rnacentral:rRNA from 1 species
UACGAAGGGGGCUAGCGUUGUUCGGAUUUACUGGGCGUAAAGGGCUCGUAGGCGGCCAACUAAGUCAGACGUGAAAUCCCUCGGCUUAACCGGGGAACUGCAUCUGAUACUGGAUGGCUUGAGUUCGGGAGAGGGAUGCGGAAUUCCAGGUGUAGCGGUGAAAUGCGUAGAUAUCUGGAGGAACACCGGUGGCGAAGGCGGCAUCCUGGACCGACACUGACGCUGAGGAGCGAAAGCGUGGGGAGCGAACAGG